rnacentral:rRNA from 1 species
UCGCAUCUGUGCAUGCAGCAUAUCAAUAAGCGGAGGAAAAGUCAAUACCUACGCUUAGGAUGUUGACGCGCGUGUGUGCGUGAGUCUAUACAUGACUCUGUGCAUAUCAAUAAGCGGAGGAAAAGAAACUAACAAGGAUUCCCUUAGUAACGGCGAGUGAAGCGGGAAGAGCUCAAAUUUGAAAUCUUCAAGGUUUUACCUUGACGAAUUGUAGUUUAAAGAAGUGUUUUCCUGUUGAAGUUUUGGUAAAAGUUCUUUGGAAUAGGACAUCAUAGAGGGUGAGAAUCCCGUAUUUGACCAUUAUUUUCAGCUGUGUGAUACACUUUCAAAGAGUCGGAUUGUUUGGGAACUGCAGUCCAAAAUGGGUGGUAAAUUUACAUCUAAAGCUAAAUAUUGGCGAGAGACCGAUAGCGAACAAGUACCGUGAGGGAAAGAUGAAAAGAACUUUGAAAAGAGAGUUAAACAGUACGUGAAAUUGUCAAAAGGGAAGCGUUUGACACCAGUGUUGUUUUCCUCGAAAAUCAAUUAAAAAGAGUUAGAUUUUGUUGUGUAUUGACCUUAACAGCUUGCAUUUCACUCUUUUCUAGCUUUUUUUAAUGCACUUUUCGUUUAACAAGUCAACAUCAGUUUCUUUUGUUGUAAAAAGGUCAUUGGAAGGUGGCUUUCUUUUCGGAGAAAGUGUUUAUAGCCUUCGACUCCUGCAAUCGGAGAGACUGAGGUCUGCAGCGUAGAUCCUCCGGGGUUAGAUACAUUUGUGCUAAGUUAUAGCUUUUUAUAGACAACUUGUUGACUAUGAUUAGUCUUGUAGCUUACUCGCUUAUGCUAUUUUACCUACGCUUAGGAUGUUGACGCGCGUGUGUGCGUG